rnacentral:rRNA from 1 species
GUGCGUAGGCGGCCUGACAAGUCUGAUGUGAAAUCUAUGGGCUCAACCCAUAGCCUGCAUCGGAAACUGUCGGGCUUGAGUAUGGGAGAGGUGAGUGGAAUUUCCGGUGUAGCGGUGAAAUGCGUAGAUAUCGGAAGGAACACCUGUGGCGAAAGCGGCUCACUGGACCAUUACUGACGCUGAGGCACGAAAGCUAGGGGAGCAAACAGGAUUAGAUACCCUGGUAGUCCUAGCCCUAAACGAUGAUUGCUUGAUGUGGCAGGUACCCAAUCCUGCCGUGUCGAAGCUAACGCGAUAAGCAAUCCGCCUGGGGAGUACGGCCGCAAGGCUGAAACUCAAAGGAAUUGACGGGGGCCCGCACAAGCGGUGGAGCAUGUGGUUUAAUUCGACGCAACGCGAAGAACCUUACCUGGGCUCGAAAUGUACCGGAAUCCGGCAGAAACGUCGGCGUCUAGCAAUAGACCGGUAUAUAGGUGCUGCAUGGCUGUCGUCAGCUCGUGUCGUGAGAUGUUGGGUUAAGUCCCGCAACGAGCGCAACCCUUAUCUCCAGUU